rnacentral:rRNA from 1 species
GUGGGGAAUAUUGGGCAAUGGGCGAAAGCCUGACCCAGCAACGCCGCGUGAAGGAAGAAGGUCUUCGGAUCGUAAACUUCUAUCCUUGGUGAAGAUAAUGACGGUAGCCGAGAAGGAAGCCCCGGCUAACUACGUGCCAGCAGCCGCGGUAAUACGUAGGGGGCAAGCGUUGUCCGGAAUGAUUGGUCGUAAAGGGCGCGUAGGCGGCCUGGUGAGUCUGGAGUGAAAGUCCUGCGUUUAAGAUGGGAAUUGCUUUGGAUACUGUCGGGCUGGAGUGCAGGAGAGGUAAGUGGAAUUCCCGGUGUAGCGGUGAAAUGCGUAGAGAUCGGGAGGAACACCAGUGGCGAAGGCGACUUACUGGACUGUAACUGACGCUGAGGCGCGAAAGUGUGGGGAGCAAACAGGAUUAGAUACCCCGGUAGUCC